rnacentral:rRNA from 1 species
UACGGGGGGGGCAAGCGUUGUUCGGAAUUACUGGGCGUAAAGGGCUCGUAGGCGGCCAACUAAGUCAGACGUGAAAUCCCUCGGCUUAACCGGGGAACUGCAUCUGAUACUGGAUGGCUUGAGUUCGGGAGGGGGAUGCGGAAUUCCAGGUGUAGCGGUGAAAUGCGUAGAUAUCUGGAGGAACACCGGUGGCGAAGGCGGCAUCCUGGACCGGCACUGACGCUGAGGAGCGAAAGCCAGGGGAGCAAACGGG